ensembl:lncRNA
AUGCAUUCCCCGUCUCUGGCAGAGCACACAGGCCCCAGGGCCCCGUGGACAGGGUUUGUCCCAGCGUAUGCACGUCACUUCCUGGGUCUGGGGGGUGGUACCUCAGAGGCUGCCCGCAGCAGGAAGCCCACGGAGAAACCAGGGCCUCUUGUUCCACUUGUCAGAGACCCCAGAAGGAGCCAGAGGGCAGCAUCAGAGCCUGCGGCCCAGGCAGGGGUGCCCAAAGGCACAGCAGCUGCAGACCACUGGCAAGGCCAGAAGAUGGAAUUUGGAAAGACAAAGGAAAGAAAUAUGAGAUAAUGUGGCUGGAAUUGGUGAGUUCUUGGUCUCGCUGACUUCCGGAGCGAAGCUACAGACCUUUAGGGUGAGUAUUACAGCUCUUUAAGGGGGCAUAUCUGGAGUUGUUCGUUCUUCUCGGUGGGUUCAUAGUCUUGUUGGCUUCAGGAGUGAAGCUGCAGACCUUCGCGGUUAGUGUUACAGUGAGUGUUACACCUCAUAAAGGCAGCAUGGACCCAAAAAGUGAGCAGCAGCAAGAUUCAUUAUAAAGAGUGAAAGAACAAACCUUCCAUAAUACCUAAGAAGACUCAGGGGGUUACCGCUGCUGGCUGGGGCAGCCUGCUUUUAAUCCCUUAUCUGACCCCACCCACAUCCUGCUGAUUGGUCUACUUUACAGAGAGCUGAUUGGUCUAUUUUACAGAGAGCCAAUUGGUCCGUUUUACAGAGAGUUGAUUGGUCCAUUUUGAAAGAGGGCUGAUUGGUUCAUUUACAAUCCCUGAGCUAGACACAGAGUGCUGACUGGUGCCUUUACAAUCCUUUAGCUAGACACAGAAUGCUAGACAGAAGUGUUCUCCAAGUCCCCACUACAUUAGCUAGAUACAGAGUACUGAUUGGUGUAUUUAUAAACCUUGAGCUAGACACAGAGUACUGAUUGAUGUAUUUACAAACCUUGAGCUAGACACAGAGUACUGAUUGGUGUAUUUACAAACCUUGAGCUAGACACAGAGUACUGAUUGGCCUAUUUACAAACCCUGAGCUAGACGCCUGCUGAAUUGGUGCAUUUACAAUCCUCUAGCUAGACACAGAGUGCUAGACAGGAAAGUUCUCCAAGUCCCCGCUAGGUUAGCUAGAUACAGAGUACCAAUUGGUGUAUUUACAAACCUUGAGCUAGACACAGGAUGCUGAUUGGUAUAUUUACAAUCCGUUAGCUAGACAUAAAGGUUCUCCAAGUCCCCACUAGACCCAGGAGCCCAGCUGGCUUCACCUAGUGGAUCCUGCACCAGGGCCGCAGGCGGAGCUGCCUACCAGUCCUGCGCCGUGUGCCCACACUCCUCAGCCCUUGGGCGGUUGACGGGACUGGUGCCAAGGAGCAGGGGGUGGUGCUCAUCAGGGAGGCUAGGGCCAUGCAGGAGCCCAGGGCGGCAGUGGAGGCUUGGGCACGGGGAGGUGCAGGUCCUGAGCCCUGCCCCACGGGGAGGCAGCUGAGGCCCAGCGAGAAUGCGAGUGCAGCGCUGGCAGGCGGGCGCUGCUGGGGGACCCUGCGCACUCUCCGCAUGCUGGCCCGGGAGCUAAGCCCCUCACUGCCGGGGGCCAGCAGCACCAGCCUGCCGCUCCAAGUGCGGGGCCCACCAAGCCCAUGCUUACUUGGAACUUGCACUGGCCCAUGAGUGCCUUGCACAGCCUCGGUUCCCACCCGCGCCUCUCCCUCCACACAUCCCUGCAAGCAGAGGGAGCCGGCUGUGGCCUCAGCCAGCCCGGAGAGGGGCUCCCACAGUGCAGCAGUGGGCUGAAGGGCUCCUCAAGCACGGCCAGAGUGGGGCUGAGGCCGAGGAGGCGCUGAGAGCAACAGGGCCGCUAGCAUGUUGUCACCUCUCAAUAACAUAUUCCAUAGGGCUUGGAGAUAAUUGAAGGAGAUUGAACCAAUAGCCUGCUACAAUUUUAUCUGUCUGAAGCUACCUCCAUAAGAGAAGAAAAAAUAUCUCUGCUUCCUUUCAACUACCAUAUUUUGGGUCUGACAAUUUAGACACCUAGAAAUAAAAGCAUUAAUCCAACAUGUAAAAGUUAUUUCUCCACACAUGAAUUCUGGACCUCAAAACAGUGUGUUAAAGUUUAAUGUCUCUUGACAAUUGUUAUUAGUUCUUUUCCUCUCCCCCACUCAACUUCCCUCAUUAACACUAUAAGCAUGGUGAUUAAUUCGGUGUGUUUGAAUUUUCCAAGGCCAUGGAUUUGUUCUAAGGACAGGUGUGGUGUGUAAGCACAUUUCUCUUCUGUGAUUAAAUGGAGCCAGUGUUCUUUCUGACACCCAAGAACACAAGCUUUCCCCUUCUGAGAUGGAUCGAUAGGAAUAAUCUUAUGUAUUGAGUGUCACUCCUGGCUACUCCUCAUUUGUGCACAGACAACAAUCUCCCUCUGAAUCUCAAAGUGGAUAACGCCAUACAUUAUUUCCAGCAAAUAGAGAAAACAGAAUCAUUUUGAGCUCAUCUGGGCUGUGAUUAGACACAAUGAUACAUUCGGAAGGAACACACCAGAGACUAGAUGGCAUCUAUCAUCCUAGGCCUAUUGAAUACACCUUUAGUACUAAACGAUAUACUCUCUGAAUCUUACUAGAUCAUUGAUAUAUUCGUUGUCCUUUUCUGUUGGUAAAGAACCUGGCAGAAAUAUACAAGAACUCAAGGUAUUUACAGUAAAAAAUUCUGAAAUUUAAUCUGACAGGCAGGAUGAAAAGAG